CACGUAGGGACCAAGCGUUGUCCGGAUUUAUUGGGCGUAAAGAGCUCGUAGGCGGUUCGGUAAGUCGGGUGUGAAAACUCUGGGCUCAACUCAGAGAUGCCACCCGAUACUGCCGUGACUUGAGUCCGGUAGGGGAGCACGGAAUUCCUGGUGUAGCGGUGAAAUGCGUAGAUAUCGGGAGGAACACCAGUGGCGAAGGCGACUUCCUGGCCUGUUCUUGACGCUGAGGCGCGAAAGCUAGGGUAGCAAACGGG
rnacentral:rRNA from 1 species